AUUGAACGCUGGCGGCAGGCCUAACACAUGCAAGUCGAGCGGAUGAAGGGAGCUUGCUCCUGGAUUCAGCGGCGGACGGGUGAGUAAUGCCUAGGAAUCUGCCUGGUAGUGGGGGAUAACGUCCGGAAACGGGCGCUAAUACCGCAUACGUCCUGAGGGAGAAAGUGGGGGAUCUUCGGACCGCACGCUAUCAGAUGAGCCUAGGUCGGAUUAGCUAGUUGGUGGGGUAAAGGCCUACCAAGGCGACGAUCCGUAACUGGUCUGAGAGGAUGAUCAGUCACCCUGGAACUGAGACCCGGUCCAGACUCCUACGGGAGGCAGCAGUGGGGAAUAUUGGACAAUGGGCGAAAGCCUGAUCCAGCCAUGCCGCGUGUGUGAAGAAGGUCUUCGGAUUGUAAAGCACUUUAAGUUGGGAGGAAGGGCAGUAAGUUAAUACCGUGCUGUUUUGACGUUAACAACAGAAUAAGCACCGGCUAACCUAGUGC
rnacentral:rRNA from 1 species